CGCUUCGAUUUGCUAAAUGAAAGGAUAAAUGAACUAGGCUUGCCCAAAGAGCAGUAUGAAUGGUACUUAGAUCUUCGCCGGUAUGGAACAGUCAAGCAUUCUGGUUUUACUCUUGGGUUUGACCUUAUGGUUCUCUUUGCCACUGGGCUUCCUGAUGUCAGAGAUGUGAUUCCUUUCCCCAGAAGCAGUGGCAAAGUUGACAACUAAACAGGCUGCAAGAAAGAAUCAUACCUCCAACAAUGGAAUAUCAUGCAUAAAAGGCAAAAAAAAAAAAAGUUGUAUACAUGUAAAUAUGUAAAUGUAAAUGCUGACACAAAAUAAAAG
rnacentral:misc_RNA from 1 species